rnacentral:tRNA from 1 species
GGGGCCGUAGCUCAGUUGGGAGAGCGUUUGGCUGGCAGCCAAAAGGCCAGGGGUUCGAGCCCCCUCGGCUCCA